rnacentral:rRNA from 1 species
GCUUGUCUCAAAGAUUAAGCCAUGCAUGUCUUAGUGUAAAUAACUCUUAUGAAACUGCGAAUGGCUCAUUAAAUCAGUUAUCGUUUAUUUGAUGGUCCCUUACUACAUGGAUAACCGUAGUAAUUCUAGAGCUAAUACAUGCACAAAGGCCCGACUCACGAAGGGCUGUAUUUAUUAGAUCUAACCAUCAUUUGGUGAAUCAUAGUAACUGAUCGGACCGUGCGUUAGCGCGGUAAAUCGUUCAAGUUUCUGCCCUAUCAGCUUUCGAUGGUAGUGUAUUGGACUACCAUGGCAGUCACGGGUAACGGAGAAUUAGGGUUCGGUUCCGGAGAGGGAGCCUGAGAAACGGCUACCACAUCUAAGGAAGGCAGCAGG